rnacentral:tRNA from 1 species
GCCCAAGUGGUGGAACUGGUAGACGCACAGGACUCAAAAUCCUGCGGGGAUUAAACCCCGUGACGGUUCGAUCCCGUCCUUGGGCACCA